rnacentral:rRNA from 1 species
GGCGAACGCUGGCGGCGUGCCUAAUACAUGCAAGUAGAACGCUGAAGGAGGAGCUUGCUUCUCUGGAUGAGUUGCGAACGGGUGAGUAACGCGUAGGUAACCUGCCUGGUAGCGGGGGAUAACUAUUGGAAACGAUAGCUAAUACCGCAUAAGAGUAGAUGUUGCAUGACAUUUGCUUAAAAGUUGCAAUUGCAUCACUACCAGAUGGACCUGCGUUGUAUUAGCUAGUUGGUGGGGUAACGGCUCACCAAGGCGACGAUACAUAGCCGACCUGAGAGGGGGGUCAGCCACCCUGGGACUGAGACACGGCCCAGACUCCUACGGGAGGCAGCAGUAGGGAAUCUUCGGCAAUGGACGGAAGUCUGACCGAGCAACGCCGAGUGAGGGAAGAAGGUUUUCGGAUCGUAAAGCUCUGUUGUAAGAGAAGAACGAGUGUGAGAGUGGAAAGUUCACACUGUGACGGUAACUUACCAGAAAGGGACGGCUAACUACGUG